rnacentral:rRNA from 1 species
CCUACGGGCGGCAGCAGUGGGGGAUAUUGCACAAUGGGGGAAACCCUGAUGCAGCGACGCCGCGUGUGGGAAGACGGUCCUCUGGAUUGUAAACCACUGUCCCCAGGGACGAAGAUGACGGUACCGGGGGAGGAAGCGCCGGCUAACUACGUGCCAGCAGCCGCGGUAAGACGGCGGGAGCAAGCGUUGUCCGGAAUUACGGGGUGUAAAGGGAGCGGAGGCGGGCUGGCACGUUGGGUGUUAAAUCUACCGGCUCAACUGGUAGUCGCACUCCAAACUGCUAUUCUUGAGUGAAGGAGAGGCAGGCGGCAUUCCUAUUGUAGCGGUGAAAUGCGUAGAUCUUAGGAGG